GUGCUCGCUUCGGCAGCACAUAUACUAAAACUGGAAUGAUACAGAGAUUAUUAGCAUGGCCCCUGCAGAAGGAUGAUACGCAAAUCUGUGAAGCAUUCCAUGUUUAA